GUCCUCCCCAGCAGCUGCUGUUAAAUAAAGAGUUUCUGCCAACUUCGAAACCAAACACAAGGUGAAGCGUGUUUCUUCCACAAUUCUUGGUGCUGUGACUCAGAUGGCAACGCUCAGCUGAGAGUACUGACAGGCUUGUGGACCAUUCCCCUCUGAAACCCCAGGUGUCAAGUCAAGGUCCCAGAAGUUUUACCCAGAGAGCCUGAAGAAGCCUGCCAUUCCUUGCAGCCAGGAAAUUGGGUUCAUGUAAAAAUCCACCAAAGAAAUUCAGCUUUAGAACCCCACUGGAUAGGUCCGUUCCAGGUUCUUCUCACCACUAACACUGCAGUAAGUGUUGGGGACUAUCUACUUGGAUCCACGCAUUGCACU